UGCGGUAGCAGUUCGGCCAUGAACGCGCGAUUCUGGGUCGCGUCGAGCCGUUCGGCUUCGGCAUAUUCCAG
rnacentral:tRNA from 1 species